rnacentral:lncRNA from 1 species
GAAAAGGUGGGGGUUUGCAAAGGGAGUAACUUCUGGUUCCUUUGUUACUUAGGUAUGGAAAGUUAGGGUUUUCCUUUCACUUUAGUUCUAGGAAGUCAGCGUGAAACGCCUGAAGUUUUCUGCCUCCAGACUCUACUCUCCUGCCUCAAUUCUACUCUCUACUUUUAUAAGCUCGACUCACAUGACGAAAGCCCUCAUCAGAUGCUUACAUCAUGAUCUUGGACUUCCCAGCCUCCAGACUGAUGCUAUGGAAGAUCAGAAAAUAUAAAUUUAUGAACUGCUAUAAACUGUUAUUUUCUUCGUGAAGAUCAGCCUCCAGGUUCAUCACAUGACUCAGCUAAGAGAAAAUAUCCAGUGGCUCAUCGUUACCUGUGGGAGGAGGUCUGAACUCCAUGGCUUUGCAUUCAUGUUCUUGUUUGUCUCACUUCAACCUUCAUUCCCUCCAAGUCCUCGUUGUCCUCCCAGGGUUCCUCUGCUACAGCCGGGGGAGUCUGAUCCCUGCUUCCUAAAUUUCUCUGAAGCUUAUCUACACCUAUGUUUUUGCUCCACUCUUCUUUCUCCUUUAUACACCAAUUAUUCUCCUGUUUUAUCCAAAUUAUUCCCUUCUGCAAGACUCACAUCAAGUACGAUUUCUUUCUAGAUGGCUCUAACUCAGUUAUUGUUAUCUAAUUGCACACAUAUCUCUGAUUAUUGGCAUUAGUCAUUUGGAAAUUUAUUGUAUGCUGCUUUGUUUUAUUAUUUCUCUUUUUCACCUGCCUUGUGCUUACUUCCCCAAUUGGACUACAGAUUCUUUAAGGAUUAG